rnacentral:rRNA from 1 species
UACAGAGGGUGCUAGCGUUGUUCGGAAUUAUUGGGCGUAAAGGGCGCGUAGGCGGCCCUGUGUGUCGGGUGUGAAAGCCCACCUCUUAAAGGUGGAAUUGCAUUCGAAACUACAGGGCUGGAGUGUCGGAGAGGAUGGCGGAAUUCCUGGUGUAGAGGUGAAAUUCGUAGAUAUCGGGAGGAACACCAGAGGCGAAGGCGGCCACCUGGACAGACACUGACGCUGAGACGCGAAAGCGUGGGGAGCAAACAGG